rnacentral:rRNA from 1 species
GACGAACGUUGGCGGCGCGCUUAAUACAUGCAAGUCAACUGAAGCAGUGGUAGCAAUAUCGCUGUGGAGGUGGCGCACGGGUGAGUAACACGUAGGUAAUCUGCCUUCAGGUCUGGCAUAACUCCGGGAAACCGGGGCUAAUAGCAGAUGAUGCAGCGGCUCGACAUCGAGACAGUUGUUAAAGCUAUGGCGCCUGAAGAUGAGCCUGCGUCUGAUUAGCUAGUUGGCGGGGUAACGGCCCACCAAGGCAACGAUCAGUAGCUGGUCUGAGAGGAUGAUCAGCCACACUGGAACUGAGACACGGUCCAGACUCCUACGGGAGGCAGCAGUAAGGAAUAUUGCUCAAUGGGAGAAAUCCUGAAGCAGCAACGCCGCGUGAGGGACGAAGGGCUUUUGCUUGUAAACCUCUGUAGUGAGAGAAAAAAAUCCCAAUCUUUGGGACAUGAUGGUAUCUCAAAAGUAAGCCCCGGCUAACUACGUG